CACCUCGUCUCCACCCAAGCACGGUAAGCAAAAUGGGAAGUGAUGGUAUUUUCCAGACUCCUUUUAAUUGAGACUUUAUAAGUGUAAUGAACAAUCCAUAAAUAUAUGAAUAUGCUAACAUUAAAAAGACCCACAAUAAGCAAGUAGAAAAGAAGAAUGAGAGGUUAGAGAUAUUGACCGAAUUUUCACAUUAUGGAUAUAGUUAUCCUAGGUAUAACUAUAGCCUCAUCAAACUGAUAAUGCACAGUUAUUUCUUCCUAGCCCAUCAUUAUGUUGGAACCGUUGUUGGGUAAGCUAAAUAACAUGAGAGUUGUUUUAGCAAGUGGUUCUAAACAAAGAGCUAAUUUGUUGAGCAGUACGAAUUUAAAUUUUGAAGUAGUUCCUUCCAAUUAUGAAGAAGAUUUAGAUCCCAGAGAACAUACAUUUUCUGAUUUUGUGGAAAAUACUGCUCUUGGUAAGCUAAAUGAUGUUUAUGAGAAAUUGAAAAAUGAUAGUAGACAACCCGACAUUAUAAUAGCUUCUGAUACAAUGGUCGUAUAUAAUGGGAAAAUGUUUGGAAAACCAAAAACUAGAGAGGAAGCCAUUAAAACAAUAUCAGAAUUAACAAAGGCAGGACUUCCUAAUUUUGUGUAUACUGGGGUAAUUAUCUGGUAUAAAAAUAAAAUCCACAAAUUUACAGAAGUGACCACUGUUCAUAUGGCCCACCUUACAGAUGCAGAAAUUUUGGCAUACAUUGAUACAGGAGAACACAUAGGAAAGGCUGGUGGGUAUGGCAUCCAAGGCAUUGCCAGUACUUUUGUUACCAGAAUUGAAGGGGACUGCAACAAUGUUAUUGGUCUACCGCUUUGUAAAUUAGCUUUUACCCUUAAGAAUAUUUUAAACAAUAGUUGACAACAGUGAAACGUUAUAUAAUUUACGAAUCUUUGUUUUGUAUUCAUUUUUAACAUAUACAAAAGAAUUGCUAAUUAUUGCAAUGAGGAACUUUUCUUUGGUAUUUGGCUUACUGUAUGUAUACACUUGACCAAGGAAUAUUGAGAAAUGAAGAAGUUUGUACCUUAACUCUCGAGAGAGGUUGUUUAAAAUUAUAGGGUGCG